UACCCGCUGAAUUUAAGCAUAUAAAUAAGCGGAGGAAAAGAAACUAACCAGGAUUCCCUCAGUAACGGCGAGUGAAGCGGGAAAAGCCCAGCACCGAAUCCCCCGGCGUGUCCGUCGGCGGGAACUGUGGUGUGUGGGACGCCAACAGUCGCGCUCGGACGGCACCCAAGUCCUCCUGAUCGAGGCCUCUCCCCGAGCGGGUGUAAGGCCUUUGGUCGGUGCCCGUCCGGCGCGGCCGCGAGCGUCUCAGGAGUCGGGUUGUUUGGGAAUGCAGCCCUAAGCGGGUGGUAAACUCCAUCUAAGGCUAAAUACCUGUGCGAGUCCGAUAGCAGACAAGUACCGUGAGGGAAAGUUNNNNNGGGUGGAACCGCAAAGUCAUGCCCGUGGGAUUCAGCCCGUUCUUACACACCGGCGCCGACCCGUGUUCGGAGACCGCGUCCACGUCCCUCCUCGCUGGGGGCUCCGGGGAUCGGCUCCCGCGGUGUCGGGCGGCCGGCGGGAACGGGUGCACUUCCCGCGGGUGGAAAGCCACGACCGGUUUCGUUGUCGGGCCAUGGGCCCGCUGUGGGAAGGUAGGUGCCGGCCGGGGCGUUCUCGCCCAGGCAGGCCUGUUACAGCCCCUGCGGGAUUCUUUUUUGGCCCCCGGGACCGAGGAACCACCGCCGCCCGGGCUUCCCCGCCGUGCGGACCUGGUCGGCGAGGCCGAGACUGGGAUGCCCUCCCGUGUCGGCCACGUCCGUGCCGGGCCGGCCGUGCGGUCGGACCUGGGCGUGCUCGCUGGGUCAGUGGCGACGCCGUCGGCACUCCACCCGACCCGUCUUGAAACACGGACCAAGGAGUCUGGCGUGCGCGCGAGUCAAGGGGUCGUACGAAACCCUAGGGCGCAGUGAAAGCGAGGGCCGCCUCGGGCUGGCCCAGGUGGGAUCCGCCGUCCGGACCUCAACCCUCCGGCGGCGGCGCACCACCGGCCCGCCCCGUCCGCGCUGUCGGUGGGGCGGAGCAUGAGCGCGUACGCCGGGACCCGAAAGAUGGUGAACUAUGCCUGAGUAGGCCGAAGCCAGAGGAAACUCUGGUGGAAGUC
rnacentral:rRNA from 1 species